rnacentral:rRNA from 1 species
GGGCGUUAAGUUGCAGGGUAUAGACCCGAAACCCGGUGAUCUAGCCAUGGGCAGGUUGAAGGUUGGGUAACACUAACUGGAGGACCGAACCGACUAAUGUUGAAAAAUUAGCGGAUGACCUGUGGCUGGGGGUGAAAGGCCAAUCAAACCGGGAGAUAGCUGGUUCUCCCCGAAAGCUAUUUAGGUAGCGCCUCGUGAAUUCAUCUCCGGGGGUAGAGCACUGUUUCGGCUAGGGGGCCAUCCCGGCUUACCAACCCGAUGCAAACUGCGAAUACCGGAGAAUGUUAUCACGGGAGACACACGGCGGGUGCUAACGUCCGUCGUGAAGAGGGAAACAACCCAGACCGCCAGCUAAGGUCCCAAAGUCAUGGUUAAGUGGGAAACGAUGUGGGAAGGCCCAGACAGCCAGGAUGUUGGCUUAGAAGCAGCCAUCAUUUAAAGAAAGCGUAAUAGCUCACUGGUCGAGUCGGCCUGCGCGGAAGAUGUAACGGGGCUAAACCAUGCACCGAAGCUGCGGCAGCGACACUGUGUGUUGUUGGGUAGGGGAGCGUUCUGUAAGCCUGNUGCUGGAGGUAUCAGAAGUGCGAAUGCUGACAUAAGUAACGAUAAAGCGGGUGAAAAGCCCGCUCGCCGGAAGACCAAGGGUUCCUGUCCAACGUUAAUCGGGGCAGGGUGAGUCGACCCCUAAGGCGAGGCCGAAAGGCGUAGUCGAUGGGAAACGGGUUAAUAUUCCCGUACUUGGUGUUACUGCGAAGGGGGGACGGAGAAGGCUAUGUUGGCCGGGCGACGGUUGUCCCGGUUUAAGCGUGUAGGUGUGUGUUCCAGGUAAAUCCGGUUCACUUUAACACUGAGGCGUGACGACGAGGCACUACGGUGCUGAAGCAACAAAUGCCCUGCUUCCAGGAAAAGCCUCUAAGCAUCAGGUAACAUCAAAUCGUACCCCAAACCGACACAGGUGGUCAGGUAGAGAAUACCAAGGCGCUUGAGAGAACUCGGGUGAAGGAACUAGGCAAAAUGGUGCCGUAACUUCGGGAGAAGGCACGCUGACACGUAGGUGAAGUGAUUUACUCAUGGAGCUGAAGUCAGUCGAAGAUACCAGCUGGCUGCAACUGUUUAUUAAAAACACAGCACUGUGCAAACACGAAAGUGGACGUAUACGGUGUGACGCCUGCCCGGUGCCGGAAGGUUAAUUGAUGGGGUCAGCGCAAGCGAAGCUCCUGAUCGAAGCCCCGGUAAACGGCGGCCGUAACUAUAACGGUCCUAAGGUAGCGAAAUUCCUUGUCGGGUAAGUUCCGACCUGCACGAAUGGCGUAAUGAUGGCCAGGCUGUCUCCACCCGAGACUCAGUGAAAUUGAACUCGCUGUGAAGAUGCAGUGUACCCGCGGCAAGACGGAAAGACCCCGUGAACCUUUACUAUAGCUUGACACUGAACAUUGAGCCUUGAUGUGUAGGAUAGGUGGGAGGCUUUGAAGUGUGGACGCCAGUCUGCAUGGAGCCGACCUUGAAAUACCACCCUUUAAUGUUUGAUGUUCUAACGUGGACCCGUUACCCGGGUUGCGGACAGUGUCUGGUGGGUAGUUUGACUGGGGCGGUCUCCUCCUAAAGAGUAACGGAGGAGCACGAAGGUUGGCUAAUCCUGGUCGGACAUCAGGAGGUUAGUGCAAUGGCAUAAGCCAGCUUGACUGCGAGCGUGACGGCGCGAGCAGGUGCGAAAGCAGGUCAUAGUGAUCCGGUGGUUCUGAAUGGAAGGGCCAUCGCUCAACGGAUAAAAGGUACUCCGGGGAUAACAGGCUGAUACCGCCCAAGAGUUCAUAUCGACGGCGGUGUUUGGCACCUCGAUGUCGGCUCAUCACAUCCUGGGGCUGAAGUAGGUCCCAAGGGUAUGGCUGUUCGCCAUUUAAAGUGGUACGCGAGCUGGGUUUAGAACGUCGUGAGACAGUUCGGUCCCUAUCUGCCGUGGGCGCUGGAGAACUGAGGGGGGCUGCUCCUAGUACGAGAGGACCGGAGUGGACGCAUCACUGGUGUUCGGGUUGUCAUGCCAAUGGCACUGCCCGGUAGCUAAAUGCGGAAGAGAUAAGUGCUGAAAGCAUCUAAGCACGAAACUUGCCCCGAGAUGAGUUCUCCCUGAGACUUA